rnacentral:rRNA from 1 species
CCCUGGCUCAGGACGAACGCUGGCGGCGUGCCUAAUACAUGCAAGUCGAGCGGAGUUUUGUUGGAAGCUUGCUUCCAACAAUGCUUAGCGGCGGACGGGUGAGUAACACGUAGGCAACCUGCCCUCAAGACUGGGAUAACUACCGGAAACGGUAGCUAAUACCGGAUAAUUUCUUUCCUCUCCUGAAGAGAGAAUGAAAGGCGGAGCAAUCUGCCACUUGGGGAUGGGCCUGCGGCGCAUUAGCUAGUUGGUGGGGUAACGGCUCACCAAGGCGACGAUGCGUAGCCGACCUGAGAGGGUGAACGGCCACACUGGGACUGAGACACGGCCCAGACUCCUACGGGAGGCAGCAGUAGGGAAUCUUCCGCAAUGGGCGACAGCCUGACGGAGCAACGCCGCGUGAGUGAUGAAGGUUUUCGGAUCGUAAAGCUCUGUUGCCAGGGAAGAACGUCCGGUAGAGUAACUGCUACCGGAGUGACGGUACCUGAGAAGAAAGCCCCCGGCUAACUA